rnacentral:rRNA from 1 species
AACGAACGCUGGCGGCAUGCCUUACACAUGCAAGUCGAACGGUAACAGGUCUUCGGAUGCUGACGAGUGGCGAACGGGUGAGUAAUACAUCGGAACGUGCCCGAGAGUGGGGGAUAACGAGGCGAAAGCUUUGCUAAUACCGCAUACGAUCUCAGGAUGAAAGCAGGGGACCGCAAGGCCUUGCGCUCACGGAGCGGCCGAUGGCAGAUUAGGUAGUUGGUGGGAUAAAAGCUUACCAAGCGGACGAUCUGUAGCUGGUCUGAGAGGACGACUAGCCACACUGGGACCGAGACACGGCCCAGACUCCUACGGGAGGCAGCAGUGGGGAAUUUUGGACAAUGGGCGCAAGCCUGAUCCAGCCAUGCCGCGUGCAGGAUGAAGGCCUUCGGGUUGUAAACUGCUUUUGUACGGAACGAAAAGACUCUGGUUAAUACCUGGGGUCCAUGACGGUACCGUAAGAAUAAGCACCGGCUAACUACGUGCCAGCCGCCGCGGUAUAC